rnacentral:rRNA from 1 species
AGAGUUUGAUUCUGGCUCAGAACGAACGCUGGCAGCGUGGAUUAGGCAUGCAAGUCGAACGUGAAGCCAAUGAACAAUCUUUCGGGAGAGUGAUUUGGUGGAAAGUGGCGAAAGGGUGAGUAACGCGUGGGUAAGCUACCCUGAAGUUUGGGACAACCCGCCGAAAGGCGGGCUAAUACCGGAUGUGGUCACUGGAUGCAUAUCCGGAUGACUAAAGGUGGGGAUCUUUCGGGACCUGCCGCUUUUGGCGGUGCCCGCGUGCCAUCAGCUUGUUGGUAGGGUAACGGCCUACCAAGGCUUACGGCUAGCCGGCCUGAGAGGGUGACCGGCCACACUGGGACUGAGACACUGCCCAGACUCCUACGGGAGGCUGCAGUCGAGGAUCAUUCGCAAUGCGCGAAAGCGUGACGAUGCGACGCUGCGUGGAGGAUGAAGGCCUUCGGGUCGUAAACUCCUGUCAUGAGGGAACAGCCAUUCUACUCCUAAUACGAGUAGGACUCGAUGGUACCUCAAGAGGAAGCCACGGCUAACUCUGUGCCAGCAGCCGCGGUAAUACAAAGGUGGCGAGCGUUGUUCGGAUUUACUGGGCGUAAAGGGUGCUUAGGUGGUUUCGUAUGUCGGAUGUGAAAGCCCAUGGCUCAACCGUGGAAUUGCAUUCGAAACUGCGGAACUAGAGUGCAGGAUGGGAGAGCGGAAUUCUUGGUGUAGCGGUGAAAUGCGUUGAUAUCAAGAAGAACACCGGUGGCGAAGGCGGCUCUCUGGAAAGUCACUGACACUGAGGCACGAAAGCUGGGGGAGCAAACAGGAUUAGAUACCCUGGUAGUCCCAGCCGUAAACGGUGCACACUUGGUGUGGGGAGAUUUAACCCUCUCCGUGCCGGAGCUAACGCGUUAAGUGUGCCGCCUGGGGAGUACGGCCGCAAGGCUAAAACUCAAAGAAAUUGACGGGGGCCCGCACAAGCGGAGGAGCAUGUGGCUUAAUUCGAUCAACGCGAAGAACCUUACCAGGGCUUGACAUAUACCUGCACGCCCCUCGAAAGGGGGGAAGCCUUUGAGGGUGGUAUACAGGUGCUGCAUGGCUGUCGUCAGUACGUGCUGUGAGGUGUUGGGUUAAGUCCCGUAACGAACGCAACCCUUGUGGUUAGUUGCCACCGGCGGUGAUGAGCCGUCGAGCACUCUAGCCAGACUGCCCGUACAAGCGGGAGGAAGGUGGGGAUGACGUCAAGUCAGUAUGGCCCUUACGCCCUGGGCUGCACACGUGCUACAAUGGACGGUACAAUGGGCUGCAAUACCGCGAGGUGGAGCAAAUCCGGAAAACCGUCCUCAGUUCGGAUUGGAGUCUGCAACUCGACUCCAUGAAGUUGGAUUCGCUAGUAACGGCGCAUCAGCUACGGCGCCGUGAAUACGUUCCCGGGCCUUGUACACACCGCCCGUCACAUCAUGAAAGCCGUCUGCACCCGAAGUCGCUGAUCCAACCCGCAAGGGAGGAAGGUGCCGAAGGUGUGGGUGGUGAUUGGGAUGAAGUAACAAGGUA